AGACGGGACCCGCACAAGCGGUGGAUGAUGUGGAUUAAUUCGAAGCAACGCGAAGAACCUUACCAGGUCUUGACAUCCCGAUGCUAUUUCUAGAGAUAGAAAGUUACUUCGGUACAUCGGUGACAGGUGGUGCAUGGUUGUCGUCAGCUCGUGUCGUGAGAUGUUGGGUUAAGUCCCGCAACGAGCGCAACCCCUAUUGUUAGUUGCCAUCAUUCAGUUGGGCACUCUAGCGAGACUGCCGGUAAUAAACCGGAGGAAGGUGGGGAUGACGUCAAAUCAUCAUGCCCCUUAUGACCUGGGCUACACACGUGCUACAAUGGUUGGUACAACGAGUUGCGAGUCGGUGACGGCGAGCUAAUCUCUUAAAGCCAAUCUCAGUUCGGAUUGUAGGCUGCAACUCGCCUACAUGAAGUCGGAAUCGCUAGUAAUCGCGGAUCAGCACGCCGCGGUGAAUACGUUCCCGGGCCUU
rnacentral:rRNA from 1 species